GGGUUGUGAGGUUAAGCGACUAAGCGUACACGGUGGAUGCCCUGGCAGUCAGAGGCGAUGAAGGACGUGCUAAUCUGCGAUAAGCGUCGGUAAGGUGAUAUGAACCGUUAUAACCGGCGAUUUCCGAAUGGGGAAACCCAGUGUGAUUCGUCACACUAUCAUUAACUGAAUCCAUAGGUUAAUGAGGCGAACCGGGGGAACUGAAACAUCUAAGUACCCCGAGGAAAAGAAAUCAACCGAGAUUCCCCCAGUAGCGGCGAGCGAACGGGGAGGAGCCCAGAGCCUGAAUCAGUGUGUGUGUUAGUGGAAGCGUCUGGAAAGGCGCGCGAUACAGGGUGACAGCCCCGUACACAAAAAUGCACAUAUUGUGAGCUCGAUGAGUAGGGCGGGACACGUGGUAUCCUGUCUGAAUAUGGGGGGACCAUCCUCCAAGGCUAAAUACUCCUGACUGACCGAUAGUGAACCAGUACCGUGAGGGAAAGGCGAAAAGAACCCCGGCGAGGGGAGUGAAAAAGAACCUGAAACCGUGUACGUACAAGCAGUGGGAGCCUCUUUAUGGGGUGACUGCGUACCUUUUGUAUAAUGGGUCAGCGACUUAUAUUCUGUAGCAAGGUUAACCGAAUAGGGGAGCCGAAGGGAAACCGAGUCUUAACUGGGCGUUAAGUUGCAGGGUAUAGACCCGAAACCCGGUGAUCUAGCCAUGGGCAGGUUGAAGGUUGGGUAACACUAACUGGAGGACCGAACCGACUAAUGUUGAAAAAUUAGCGGAUGACUUGUGGCUGGGGGUGAAAGGCCAAUCAAACCGGGAGAUAGCUGGUUCUCCCCGAAAGCUAUUUAGGUAGCGCCUCGUGAAUUCAUCUCCGGGGGUAGAGCACUGUUUCGGCAAGGGGGUCAUCCCGACUUACCAACCCGAUGCAAACUGCGAAUACCGGAGAAUGUUAUCACGGGAGACACACGGCGGGUGCUAACGUCCGUCGUGAAGAGGGAAACAACCCAGACCGCCAGCUAAGGUCCCAAAGUCAUGGUUAAGUGGGAAACGAUGUGGGAAGGCCCAGACAGCCAGGAUGUUGGCUUAGAAGCAGCCAUCAUUUAAAGAAAGCGUAAUAGCUCACUGGUCGAGUCGGCCUGCGCGGAAGAUGUAACGGGGCUAAACCAUGCACCGAAGCUGCGGCAGCGACGCUUAUGCGUUGUUGGGUAGGGGAGCGUUCUGUAAGCCUGCGAAGGUGUGCUGUGAGGCAUGCUGGAGGUAUCAGAAGUGCGAAUGCUGACAUAAGUAACGAUAAAGCGGGUGAAAAGCCCGCUCGCCGGAAGACCAAGGGUUCCUGUCCAACGUUAAUCGGGGCAGGGUGAGUCGACCCCUAAGGCGAGGCCGAAAGGCGUAGUCGAUGGGAAACAGGUUAAUAUUCCUGUACUUGGUGUUACUGCGAAGGGGGGACGGAGAAGGCUAUGUUGGCCGGGCGACGGUUGUCCCGGUUUAAGCGUGUAGGCUGGUUUUCCAGGCAAAUCCGGAAAAUCAAGGCUGAGGCGUGAUGACGAGGCACUACGGUGCUGAAGCAACAAAUGCCCUGCUUCCAGGAAAAGCCUCUAAGCAUCAGGUAACAACAAAUCGUACCCCAAACCGACACAGGUGGUCAGGUAGAGAAUACCAAGGCGCUUGAGAGAACUCGGGUGAAGGAACUAGGCAAAAUGGUGCCGUAACUUCGGGAGAAGGCACGCUGAUAUGUAGGUGAAGCGACUUGCUCGUGGAGCUGAAAUCAGUCGAAGAUACCAGCUGGCUGCAACUGUUUAUUAAAAACACAGCACUGUGCAAACACGAAAGUGGACGUAUACGGUGUGACGCCUGCCCGGUGCCGGAAGGUUAAUUGAUGGGGUUAGCGGUAACGCGAAGCUCUUGAUCGAAGCCCCGGUAAACGGCGGCCGUAACUAUAACGGUCCUAAGGUAGCGAAAUUCCUUGUCGGGUAAGUUCCGACCUGCACGAAUGGCGUAAUGAUGGCCAGGCUGUCUCCACCCGAGACUCAGUGAAAUUGAACUCGCUGUGAAGAUGCAGUGUACCCGCGGCAAGACGGAAAGACCCCGUGAACCUUUACUAUAGCUUGACACUGAACAUUGAGCCUUGAUGUGUAGGAUAGGUGGGAGGCUUUGAAGUGUGGACGCCAGUCUGCAUGGAGCCGGCCUUGAAAUACCACCCUUUAAUGUUUGAUGUUCUAACGUUGGCCCGUAAUCCGGGUUGCGGACAGUGUCUGGUGGGUAGUUUGACUGGGGCGGUCUCCUCCUAAAGAGUAACGGAGGAGCACGAAGGUUGGCUAAUCCUGGUCGGACAUCAGGAGGUUAGUGCAAUGGCAUAAGCCAGCUUGACUGCGAGCGUGACGGCGCGAGCAGGUGCGAAAGCAGGUCAUAGUGAUCCGGUGGUUCUGAAUGGAAGGGCCAUCGCUCAACGGAUAAAAGGUACUCCGGGGAUAACAGGCUGAUACCGCCCAAGAGUUCAUAUCGACGGCGGUGUUUGGCACCUCGAUGUCGGCUCAUCACAUCCUGGGGCUGAAGUAGGUCCCAAGGGUAUGGCUGUUCGCCAUUUAAAGUGGUACGCGAGCUGGGUUUAGAACGUCGUGAGACAGUUCGGUCCCUAUCUGCCGUGGGCGCUGGAGAACUGAGGGGGGCUGCUCCUAGUACGAGAGGACCGGAGUGGACGCAUCACUGGUGUUCGGGUUGUCAUGCCAAUGGCACUGCCCGGUAGCUAAAUGCGGAAGAGAUAAGUGCUGAAAGCAUCUAAGCACGAAACUUGCCCCGAGAUGAGUUCUCCCUGACCCUUUAAGGGUCCUGAAGGAACGUUGAAGACGACGACGUUGAUAGGCCGGGUGUGUAAGCGCAGCGAUGCGUUGAGCUAACCGGUACUAAUGAACCGUGAGGCUUAACCUUACAACGCCGAAGGUGUUU
rnacentral:rRNA from 1 species